CUGCCCCUGGGUCAGCGUAAGUACUGCAGAGGCGAGGCGGGCGUGCAGUGGGUGAGGUGGUCAUGCUGGUGCUACCCAUGUCUACGGAAGCCUGAGUGACAGGAAGGACACCAGGGAAGAGGAAAAAAUAAGUGUUACGAGGAAAAGGAGGAGAGGGAGAAGAAGAGAGAGGGACAGGGAGAAAGGGAGAGAGAGAAAGAGACCCUUUUACUCCCUCUUUUACCCUUGUUGGCAGCUUCUAAGGUUACGGAAAUUGUACCAAGUUCAGACGACACGUAGUCUUCAGGAGGAGGAGAAGGAGGAGGAGGAGGAGGAAGAGAAGAGCUGAGUAAAGAGAAAGAAAGUGCAAGGAGGAUAAAGUCAGAAGAAUAAGAGGAAGAGGAGGAGGAAGAAGAGGAUAUCUAACAGGUCACUGGAUAGAGGAAGAGGAGGAGGAAAAAGAAGAAGAGGAAGAGGAGAGGAAGAAGAAGAAGGAGGAAGUAGCAUGAUAGAAUUCUCAAGGUAGACUGUAGUGAAUUUUAAUCUAUAUGUGUAGUAGAAGGAAGGAAAGGAAGAGAAGGCAAGGGAGGAAGAAGGGAAGAGGAGGAAAUGGGAAGGAAGGAGAGGGAACGAGGAUGGG